CUGUAAACUGGUCUGAUGAUAUUGUGUACAGUGAAGUAAAUUUCUCUUCAGUGGUUGUUAUACUGAACUAUUGUAAUGUUCAGGUAUACGUAAGCAAGAGGUUCCAUGUCGGCGAAGGCUAGAGUCUUUGCAACAGACAUUGCAUCCAGUGGACUCUUUAGGCUACAGCCUUGUGUAAUGUUCCUUGUGUGGAUACUAGAGAAGCUCAGCCUUUUGAAAAUUGCUCCGUGGUCAAGAUGACAGGUUUUUGCAUCUCGACAGUCUGAUUCAGCCAGUCUGCAAUAGUUAAGCUUUGCUAGCAGACCACACUAGGGCAAGGAAUGGUGUCCCGAUGUGACUUCUUGUGAAACUACCGAGACUAGCUUUUUGCCAGUUGGACGAGUGAUAAUGGACUAAAGCAGACUCGGUGUUGAACAAAGAAUGGGACUAAAAUUAGUGUUAAGCUGAUUGAUCUGCCUCCUCUCCCUUUACUAAAUCUUAUCACCAAUUAUUGCUUUCUUGUCUGUAUAUUAUGCUCAACCUUGACAUCUGACUUAAAUAUGCCUGGUAUACAGGUGAUAUGUCUGUUUCCUAAAGCUACACUUGUCUACAUAAAUCAUCCUGCAUUUGUCAUUGGUGCUACUAUUAAAGUUCACUACUUGCUACA